rnacentral:rRNA from 1 species
GACGAACGCUGGCGGCGUGCUUAACACAUGCAAGUCGAACGGAAAGGCCCUGCUUUUGUGGGGUGCUCGAUUGGCGAACGGGUGAGUAACACGUGAGUAACCUGCCCUUGACUUUGGGAUAACUUCAGGAAACUGGGGCUAAUACCGGAUAGGAUCUCCUGCUGCAUGGUGGGGGUUGGAAAGUUUCGGCUGUUGGGGAUGGACUCGCGGCUUAUCAGCUUGUUGGUGGGGUAGUGGCUUACCAAGGCUUUGACGGGUAGCCGGCCUGAGAGGGUGACCGGCCACAUUGGGACUGAGAUACGGCCCAGACUCCUACGGGAGGCAGCAGUGGGGAAUAUUGCACAAUGGGCGGAAGCCUGAUGCAGCAACGCCGCGUGCGGGAUGACGGCCUUCGGGUUGUAAACCGCUUUCGCCUGUGACGAAGCGUGAGUGACGGUAAUGGGUAAAGAAGCACCGGCUAACUACGUG